GACGAACGCUGGCGGCGUGCCUAAUACAUGCAAGUCGAGCGGACGAAUCGAAAGCUUGCUUUUGAUUCGUUAGCGGCGGACGGGUGAGUAACACGUGGGCAACCUGCCCUGUAGACGGGGAUAACACCGAGAAAUCGGUGCUAAUACCGGAUAACACGAAAUGUCGCAUGACGUUUCGUUGAAAGACGGCGCAAGCUGUCGCUACAGGAUGGGCCCGCGGCGCAUUAGCUAGUUGGUGAGGUAACGGCUCACCAAGGCGACGAUGCGUAGCCGACCUGAGGGGGGGAGGGACCACACGGGGGUGGAGCCGGGGCCGAGCCCCCGCGGGGGGGCAGAAGGGGGAAUUCUCCGGAAGGGGAAGAAGGUCGGAGGGAGCAGCCCGGGGGGAGAGAAAAGGCCCUCGGGGUCGAAAGUCUUUUUUUUGGGGGAAAAAAAGGAACCGCAUGAAUGGGCGUUACCGGGAGGUACCAUAAGGAAAAAGCCACGGCAAACUCGGUC
rnacentral:rRNA from 1 species